UACGUAGGGGGCAAGCGUUGUCCGGAUUUACUGGGCGUAAAGAGCGCGUAGGCGGAAGCUUAAGUGUGGCCUGAAAGCCCCCGGCUCAACCGGGGAAGGUGGCUGCAAACUGGGCUUCUUGAGGGCGAUAGAGGAGAGCGGAAUUCCUGGUGUAGCGGUGGAAUGCGUAGAUAUCGGGAGGAACACCAGUGGCGAAGGCGGUUGCCUGGAGCUUUGCUGACGCUGAUGCGCGAAAGCGUGGGGAGCGAUCCGG
rnacentral:rRNA from 1 species